rnacentral:rRNA from 1 species
AACGCGAAGAACCUUACCUGGGUUUGACAUACGCCGGAAAGCCAUGGAGACAUGGCCCCUUUUUGUCGGUGUACAGGUGGUGCAUGGCUGUCGUCAGCUCGUGUCGUGAGAUGUUGGGUUAAGUCCCGCAACGAGCGCAACCCUUGUCGCAUGUUGCCAGCGCGCCCUUCGGGGUGGCGGGGACUCAUGCGAGACUGCCGGGGUCAACUCGGAGGAAGGUGGGGAUGACGUCAAGUCAUCAUGCCCCUUAUGUCCAGGGCUUCACGCAUGCUACAAUGGCCGGUACAGAGGGCUGCGAUCCCGUGAGGGGGAGCGAAUCCCUAAAAGCCGGUCUCAGUUCGGAUUGGGGUCUGCAACUCGACCCCAUGAAGUCGGAGUCGCUAGUAAUCGCAGAUCAGCAACGCUGCGGUGAAUACGUUCCCGGGCCUUGUACACACCG